GAUGAACGCUGGCGGCGUGCCUAAUACAUGCAAGUCGAGCGAACAGACGAGGAGCUUGCUCCUCUGACGUUAGCGGCGGACGGGUGAGUAACACGUGGAUAACCUACCUAUAAGACUGGGAUAACUUCGGGAAACCGGAGCUAAUACCGGAUAAUAUAUUGAACCGCAUGGUUCAAUAGUGAAAGACGGUUUUGCUGUCACUUAUAGAUGGAUCCGCGCCGCAUUAGCUAGUUGGUAAGGUAACGGCUUACCAAGGCAACGAUGCGUAGCCGACCUGAGAGGGUGAUGGGCCACACGGGAACGGAGACACGGCCCAGACUCCUACGGGAGGCGGCAGUGGGGAAUCUUCCGCAAGGGGCGAAAGCCUGACGGAGCACGGCCGGGGGAGUGAUGAAGGUCUUCGGAUCGAAAAACUCUGUUAUUAGGGAAAAACAAAUGUGUAAGUAACUAUGCACGUCUUGACGGUACCUAAUCAGAAAGCCACGGCUAACUACGUG
rnacentral:rRNA from 1 species